rnacentral:tRNA from 1 species
AAAAAGUAGCUUAAAAAAAGCGUUCGACUAACAACCGAGAAAUAUUGCCCCCGAUCUUUUUGG